rnacentral:rRNA from 1 species
AUUGAACGCUGGCGGCACGCCUAACACAUGCAAGUCGAGCGGCAUCGCGAGUAGUAGCAAUACUACUUGGCGGCGAGCGGCGGACGGGUGAGGAACACGUAGGAACCUGCCUUCAAGAGGGGGACAACCAAGGGAAACUUUGGCUAAUACUGCAGAAUCUCGAGAGAGAAAAGAGGCCCGCAAGGGUGGCGCAUUAAGACGGGACUGCGCCCGAUUAGCUAGUUGGUGAGGUAAAGGCUCACCAAGGCGAUGAUCGGUAACUGGUCUUAGAGGACGACCAGUCACACUGGGACUGAGACACGGCCCAGACUCCUACGGGAGGAAGCAGUGGGGAAUCUUGGACAAUGGGGGCAACCCUGAUCCAGCGAUGCCGAGUGGGUGAAGAAGGCCUUCGGGUUGUAAAGCCCUUUAGGUUGGGAAGAAGGUUGUUAGUUUAAGAGAUAAACGACUUGACGGUACCAACAGAAUAAGCACCGGCAAACUCUGUGCCAGCCGCCGCAGUAA